CGUAUAGAAUGCUUGGUCUACAAAGUAAUGGUCAAAGAAGGUCAAAGGCCAUUGCAUUGUAUGAUAUAUGUUAUCCUGUAAUGUGAUAACUCAGUACAACAGAUGGUGCAAACUAUACCUUUUUAAGACUCCAUUAACUCAAACAAUAAAUUACAU